rnacentral:rRNA from 1 species
AUUGAACGCUGGCGGCAGGCCUAACACAUACAAGUCGAGCGGUAGAGAGAAGCUUGCUUCUCUUGAGAGCGGCGGACGGGUGAGUAAUGCCUAGGAAUCUGCCUGGUAGUGGGGGAUAACGUUCGGAAACGGACGCUAAUACCGCAUACGUCCUACGGGAGAAAGCAGGGGACCUUCGGGCCUUGCGCUAUCAGAUGAGCCUAGGUCGGGUUAGCUAGUUGGUGGGGUAAUGGCUCACCAAGGCGACGAUCCGUAACUGGUCUGAGAGGAUGAUCAGUCACACUGGAACUGAGACACGGUCCAGACUCCUACGGGAGGCAGCAGUGGGGAAUAUUGGACAAUGGGCGAAAGCCUGAUCCAGCCAUGCCGCGUGUGUGAAGAAGGUCUUCGGAUUGUAAAGCACUUUAAGUUGGGAGGAAGGGCAGUAAAUUAAUACUCUGCUGUUUUGACGUUACCGACAGAAUAAGCACCGGCUAACUCUGUGCCAGCCGCCGCCGUAA